GCCAAAUAUCGCGUGUCCUGACUACUCGUCGAUGUCGCUUCGAAUAGAUGCUCGAGUGCACGGUCAAUGAAUCCCUGCAUUGUGAAGGAUUUCCCGCAACCGGUUUGUCCAUAUGCGAAAACAGUUGCUGUGAAAAUACCUUCCAAAACUGCUUCGACAACAACAGAACCCACGGCUUCGUAAACAGAUUCAGUUGUUGAUUCUGUACCAAAUGCUGCAUCGAAUUGAUAAACUUUUCCAGUAUCGGUGCCAUCGAGAGUGCAGCAACAUCAGGAAGCAGCGGGAAAAUUGGAAAGCCUAUUGUUAAAAAGACUUUACUACUUCUAAACAUUAAUGCGAAAAUUGAAAGGUGUAAUAAGUGAAAUAAGUAUAAUAAUUGGAGAUAGAACAUAUUUAAUGACGCAAUAUCGUUCAACAUGCACAUUCUGUUUUAUCUUAGUCAAACAAGUGUUUCACGUUGGGACAUUGGCCGGCAUCGUACAGCUACUUUCACAGACUCACUCAUCUGUUCAACAGAAAGAUAGAAUGAUUUAAGAAAGUUGAGAAAGUGAUAAUUUUUAAUUUUUUUGUUUUUUUCUUCUUUUGCU